rnacentral:rRNA from 1 species
AUGGCUACUUACUACUCGAGCCCUGGCAGCGAAAGAGAGUCGCAAGACAUGUACUCGAGAGACCCGGGCGGUGCAUCCUAUCCGAUGUCGUCUGCUCUGGGCAACUUGCUCUAUCUGAACAAUCCAUCUUCUGGGCCAUACACUGAGUUCAGCGGCAUUCUGCAGACUCAGCAGAACUUCAUGGAGAUGCCUGCCCAUGGCCAUCAUUCUGCAAUGUCCCAGGACUCAUCGGCAAGGGAGUCGCAGGACAUGCUUGCUUCCCACCAUGGGCAACGCUCCUUCGGUCAUGUGAAAGAUAUGAAGAAUGAGAUGUUGAUGCAUAUGAUGGAUGGAGCACAGAGUGGUGGUGCUGAACUCAUCCAUGAUGAUCCCCACAAUGGUGCACAGUUCGAGUUUGGUGUCCUGAACAACCAUGACUCGUCGGAUGUUCCGGUUGGGCAAGGGCAAGGGCAAGGGCAAGGGCUGUCUCUGAGCCUCAACACACAAAUCCUCGCGCCGUCCUUGCCAUACUGGUCCAUCAAACCAGACAUGUUGACGCCAAACUCUUACCAGGAAAGCCUUAGAAUAGACGACAUCCGGAUGAAGAACAUGCAGUCUGAGGCCUCUCGUGCGAUCCGGCACUCGAGGUAUCUCAAGGCAGCUCAAGAAGUGCUAGAUGAAGUUGUGAAUGUUUGGAAGAACAUCAAGCAGAAAGCUCAGAAAGAGCAAGCUGAACCAGGUAAAGCAGAUGGCAAAGAGACCGAUGGAGGGCCAAAAAGCGAGGGCGCGUCGCAAGAAUCCGGCGCAAAUGCAGCACCUGAGCUGUCCACUGCUGAGAAGCAAGAGCUUCAGAACAAGAUGGCCAAACUGAUGGCAAUGUUGGAUGAGGUGGACCGGAAAUACAAGCACUAUUACCACCAAAUGCAAAAUGUGGUUGCAUCUUUCGACAUGGUGGCUGGGCCCGGAUCUGCCAAGCCUUACACCGCAGUUGCUCUGCAGACAAUCUCGCGACACUUCCGGUGCUUGAAGGACGCUAUCAAUGAUCAGAUCAAUGCUAUCAGGAAGAAGCUCGGCGAGGAAGAAAAUCCGUCUAGCAAGGAAGGCAAAUUGACCCGUCUUCGGUACAUUGAUCAGCAGCUAAGGCAGCAGCGUGCUUUCCAACAGUACGGUAUGAUUCCUCAGAAUGCCUGGAGACCGCAGAGGGGAUUGCCUGAAAACUCGGUUACAGUUCUUCGCGCUUGGCUCUUUGAACACUUCCUUCACCCGUAUCCAAAAGAUUCUGAAAAGUUAAUGCUUGCAAGGCAGACUGGCUUGACAAGGAGUCAGAUUUCGAAUUGGUUCAUAAACGCUCGUGUCCGCCUUUGGAAACCAAUGAUUGAAGACAUGUACAAAGAAGAGACCGGUGAUCUGGAGCAAGACUCCAACUCUUCCUCCGACAAUGUGCCGAGAAGCAAGAGCAAAGUGGCAUCUUCAGAAGAGAAUGAAGAUCUGAAGAACGCCAGGGCUCGGGUUUGCGAGACCAGCCAGCUAAGCGAGUCGAGAGCCAGCAUGGGAACUAUGAAUGUUGGCGGGGCACCUGUUAGCUUCCAGAACGAGCCCAACCCCGACGACAGUUUCAUGAACCUGAUGAUGAAGGACCAGCGAUCCGGUGAGGCGGACGGAGGCCUCCUCCUCCACAACGCCGUCGCGCAGCACUCGGACGAGAGCGCGCGGUUCAUGGCCUACCACUUGGCAGAGCUUGGGAGGUACGGAAACGGCAACGUAUCGCUCACGCUCGGCCUACAGCACUCUGGCAGCGGCCUCUCGGUUCCGAAUGCCCAAGCAAACUUCGCCGGCGUCGGUGACGACGACAUCUACAAUGCCGGUGCUCCUCUCGGUGUCAGCAUUGCAUCUUCGGACUAUGAAUCUUUGAACCAGAUGGAUCAGCGGCAACGCUUCGAGCAAUCGCCUCUUUUGCAUGAUUUUGUGGCCUNNNNNNNNNNNNNNNNNNNNNNNNNNNNNNNNNNNNNNNNNNNNNNNNNNNNNNNNNNNNGGAGGGGGUGA